rnacentral:rRNA from 1 species
UACAGAGGUCUCAAGCGUUGUUCGGAUUCAUUGGGCGUAAAGGGUGCGUAGGUGGCGCGCUAAGUCAGGUGUGAAAUUUCGGAGCUUAACUCCGAAACUGCAUUUGAUACUGGCGUGCUUGAGGACUGGAGAGGAGACUGGAAUUCAUGGUGUAGCAGUGAAAUGCGUAGAGAUCAUGAGGAAGACCAGUGGCGAAGGCGGGUCUCUGGACAGUUCCUGACACUGAGACACGAAGGCCAGGGGAGCAAACGGGG